CCUACGGGUGGCAGCAGUCGAGAAUCAUUCACAAUGGGGGUAACCCUGAUGGUGCGACGCCGCGUGGGGGAAUGAAGGUCUUUGGAUUGUAAACCCCUGUCAUGUGGGAGCAAAUUAAAACGAUAGUACCACAAGAGGAAUAGACGGCUAACUCUGUUCCAGCAGCUGCGGUAAUACAGAGGCCUUAAGCGUUGUUCGGAAUCACUUGGCGUAAAGCGUGCGUAGGCUGUUUCGUAAGUCGUGUGUGAAAGGUGCCGGCGCAACCAGAGUACGGCAAAUGAUACUGCGAGACUAGAGUAAAGGAGUGGGAAGCGGAAUUCGCGGUGAAGCAGUGAAAUGCGUAGAUA
rnacentral:rRNA from 1 species